UACGGAGGGAGCUAGCGUUGUUCGGAAUUACUGGGAGUAAAGGGUCCGUAGGCGGUGCGGCAAGUCGGGAGUGAAAUCUCUGGGCUUAACCCAGAGGCUGCUUCCGAAACUGCUGUGCUUGAGUGUGGGAGAGGCGCGUGGAAUUGCAGGUGUAGCGGUGAAAUGCGUAGAUAUCUGCAGGAACACCCGUGGCGAAAGCGGCGCGCUGGACCACAACUGACGCUGAAUGACGAAAGCUAGGGGAGCAAACAGG
rnacentral:rRNA from 1 species